CUACGAAGGGGGCUAGCGUUGUUCGGAUUUACUGGGCGUAAAGCGCACGUAGGCGGAUUGAUUAGUUAGGGGUGAAAUCCCGAGGCUCAACCUCGGAACUGCCUCUAAAACUGUCAAUCUCGAGACCGGAAGAGGUGAGUGGAACUCCUAGUGUAGAGGUGGAAUUCGUAGAUAUUAGGAAGAACACCAGUGGCGAAGGCGGCUCACUGGUCCGGUACUGACGCUGAGGUGCGAAAGCGUGGGGAGCGAACAGGAUUAGAAACCCUUGUAGUCC
rnacentral:rRNA from 1 species